GUGAGACUCCAUCAAAACAAAACAAAACAGCAAAAUGCCUACUGAAAAUCUCCUUGCAGUACCGGCCUACAAAUGUACCGUUAGGAAGCUGUUCUCUUCAAGAGCAGGCUUGGAAGCUAGAGAGGACUGAGAUUGCAGCUGUGGUCUGAAGGGCUGUGUGUGAACGGGGGAGCCAGAGAGACUUGGAUCUAUCAGUCAGGGUUUUCUAGAGAAGCAGAACCAAUAAGAAGGAAAGAACAAGAGUUAUGAUGAGGAAUUGGCUCACAUGAUUAUGGAGGCUGAUGAGUCCCAAGAUCCGUGGGAUGAGUUGGGGAGCUGGGGGCCCGUGAGAGCCAAUGGUGCAGUGCAGCAAGGUGCUACGGACCCCGGCAGACAGGUGUGGAUGAUAUUCUUUGCCAACUGCCUUUGGACAACCUCAGAUUUCACCACGGUCAACAAAUAGAGUUACCUCUGACUUCAGUUUGGAAAUUUUUUUUUUUUUGCAGGGAAUUCUUUGUAGAUUUUCAAACUGCUGUUGAUUAGUUUGUCAAUAAAAUUUAUUGAGUGCC